rnacentral:sRNA from 1 species
CGCAAGGGCUUCUAAGAAGCCAUCCCAAUGACCUUUUGGCUUUGAGAAGAGCAGUCCUCAUACCAGAGGGUUUGGGGUUUUGGCCUCUUUCAGUGUUUAUUCAUUCUUACAUGGGAAAGUUGUAUUCUGAGGUUUCUGUGGUGCAUGAAGCUUUUGCCUUCACCAUCUGUUCCCGUGUCUUCCUCGGGUGACAUCAGAGUACAGCAGUAUUUUCCCUUGCCAUCUAAUGGGGUUUGGGCUGUUUGACUCAACCGUGUGUGUUCCUCAAUGCCAGGGGAAUAAUCCUACCCUAAGUCAGCUGAACAGAAGCCAGGAUCUAACUGCAAACAAGAGACCCAGCUUGCUUAACAGCAUGGAAGAGACCAGUUUCGUUGCAGCUACCUGGGAAGACGGUUGCUAAUUAGCCUGCAACAAAGAGUUCCUUGCUCAUCUAAAAGAGGCAAUCACUGUUCAGGUGAAGCUUUGUUCUAAGAAUAUUUGUUUCAUCUAGUUUAUGAGUCCAAAUGAUAUAGACUCUAAAUGUCACAGCAGUGGUGAAAGACUGCUCGGUCAUGAGCACCGACAGUAACUCACUGGCACGUGAAUUUCUGACCGAUGUCAACCGGCUUUGCAAUGCAGUGGUCCAGAGGGUGGAGGCCAGGGAGGAAGAAGAGGAGGAGACGCACAUGGCAACCCUUGGACAGUACCUUGUCCAUGGUCGAGGAUUUCUAUUACUUACCAAGCUAAAUUCUAUAAUUGAUCAGGCAUUGACAUGUAGAGAAGAACUCCUGACUCUUCUUCUGUCUCUCCUUCCACUGGUAUGGAAGAUACCUGUGCAAGAAGAAAAGGCAACAGAUUUUAACCUACCGCUCUCAGCAGAUAUAAUCCUGACCAAAGAAAAGAACUCAAGUUCACAAAGAUCCACUCAGGAAAAAUUACAGUUAGAAGGAAGUGCCCUGUCUAGUCAGGUUUCUGCAAAAGUAAAUGUUUUUCGAAAAAGCAGACGACAGCGUAAAAUUACCCAUCGCUAUUCUGUAAGAGAUGCAAGAAAGACACAGCUCUCCACCUCAGAUUCAGAAGCCAAUUCAGAUGAAAAAGGCAUAGCAAUGAAUAAGCAUAGAAGGCCCCAUCUGCUGCAGCAUUUUGUAACAUCGUUUCCUAAACAAGACCACCCUAAAGCUAAACUUGACCGCUUAGCAACCAAAGAAGAACAGACUCCUCCAGAUGCUGUGGCUUUGGAAAAUUCCAGAGAGAUUAUUCCAAGACAGGGGUCAAACACUGACACUUUAAGUGAGCCAGCUGCCUUGUCUGUUAUCAGUAACAUGAACAAUUCUCCGUUUGACUUAUGUCAUGUUUUGUUAUCUUUAUUAGAAAAAGUUUGUAAGUUUGACGUUACCUUGAAUCAUAAUUCUCCUUUAGCAGCCAGUGUAGUGCCCACACUAACUGAAUUCCUAGCAGGCUUUGGGGACUGCUGCAGUCUGAGCGACAACUUGGAGAGUCGAGUAGUUUCUGCAGGUUGGACCGAAGAACCGGUGGCUUUGAUUCAAAGGAUGCUCUUUCGAACAGUGUUGCAUCUUCUGUCAGUAGACGUUAGUACUGCAGAGAUGAUGCCAGAAAAUCUUAGGAAAAAUUUAACUGAAUUGCUUAGAGCAGCUUUAAAAAUUAGAAUAUGCCUAGAAAAGCAGCCUGACCCUUUUGCACCAAGACAAAAGAAAACACUGCAGGAGGUUCAGGAAGAUUUUGUGUUUUCAAAGUAUCGUCAUAGAGCCCUUCUUUUACCUGAGCUUUUGGAAGGAGUUCUUCAGAUUCUGAUCUGUUGUCUUCAAAGUGCAGCUUCAAAUCCGUUCUACUUCAGUCAAGCCAUGGAUUUGGUUCAAGAAUUCAUUCAGCAUCAUGGAUUUAAUUUAUUUGAAACAGCAGUUCUUCAAAUGGAAUGGCUGGUUUUAAGAGAUGGAGUUCCUCCCGAGGCCUCAGAGCAUUUGAAAGCCCUAAUAAAUAGUGUGAUGAAAAUAAUGAGCACUGUCAAAAAAGUGAAAUCAGAGCAACUUCAUCAUUCGAUGUGUACAAGAAAAAGGCACAGACGAUGUGAAUAUUCUCAUUUUAUGCAUCAUCACCGAGAUCUCUCAGGUCUUCUGGUUUCGGCUUUUAAAAACCAGGUUUCCAAAAACCCAUUUGAAGAGACUGCAGAUGGAGAUGUUUAUUAUCCUGAGCGGUGCUGUUGCAUUGCAGUGUGUGCCCAUCAGUGCUUGCGCUUACUACAGCAGGCUUCCUUGAGCAGCACUUGUGUCCAGAUCCUAUUGGGUGUUCAUAACAUUGGAAUAUGCUGUUGUAUGGAUCCCAAAUCUGUAAUCACUCCUUUGCUCCAUGCUUUUAAAUUGCCAGCACUGAAAAAUUUUCAGCAGCAUAUAUUGAAUAUCCUUAACAAACUUAUUUUGGAUCAGUUAGGAGGAGCAGAGAUAUCACCAAAAAUUAAAAAAGCAGCUUGUAAUAUUUGUACUGUUGACUCUGACCAACUAGCCCAAUUAGAAGAGACACUGCAGGGAAACUUAUGUGAUGCUGAACUCUCCUCAAGUUUAUCCAGUCCUUCUUACAGAUUUCAAGGGAUCCUGCCCAGCAGUGGAUCUGAAGAUUUGUUGUGGAAAUGGGAUGCUUUAAAGGCUUAUCAGAACUUUGUUUUUGAAGAAGACAGAUUACAUAGUAUACAGAUUGCAAAUCACAUUUGCAAUUUAAUCCAGAAAGGCAAUAUAGUUGUUCAGUGGAAACUAUAUAAUUACAUAUUUAAUCCUGUGCUCCAAAGAGGAGUUGAAUUAGCACAUCAUUGUCAACACCUAAGCGUUACUUCAGCUCAAAGUCAUGUAUGUAGCCAUCAUAACCAGUGCUUGCCUCAGGACGUGCUUCAGAUUUAUGUAAAAACUCUGCCUAUCCUGCUUAAAUCCAGGGUAAUAAGAGAUUUGUUUUUGAGUUGUAAUGGAGUAAGUCAAAUAAUCGAAUUAAAUUACUUAAAUGGUAUUCGAAGUCAUUCUCUAAAAGCAUUUGAAACUCUGAUAGUCAGCCUAGGGGAGCAACAGAAAGAUGCCUCAGUUCCAGGUAUUGAUGGGAUAGACAUUGAACAGAAGGAGUUGUCCUCUGUACAUGUGGGUACUUCUUUUCAUCAUCAGCAAGCUUAUUCAGAUUCUCCUCAGAGUCUCAGCAAAUUUUAUGCUGGCCUCAAAGAAGCUUAUCCAAAGAGACGGAAGACUGUUAACCAAGAUGUUCAUAUCAACACAAUAAACCUAUUCCUCUGUGUGGCUUUUUUAUGUGUAAGUAAAGAAGCAGAGUCUGACAGGGAGUCGGCCAAUGACUCAGAAGAUACUUCUGGCUAUGACAGCACAGCCAGCGAGCCUUUAAGUCAUAUGCUGCCAUGUAUAUCUCUCGAGAGCCUUGUCUUGCCUUCUCCUGAACAUAUGCACCAAGCAGCAGACAUUUGGUCUAUGUGUCGUUGGAUCUACAUGUUGAGUUCAGUCUUCCAGAAACAGUUUUAUAGGCUUGGUGGUUUCCGAGUAUGCCAUAAGUUAAUAUUUAUGAUAAUACAGAAACUGUUCAGAAGUCACAAAGAGGAGCAAGGAAAAAAGGAGGGAGAUACAAAUGUAAAUGAAAACCAGGAUUUAAACAGAAUUUCUCAACCUAAGAGAACUAUGAAGGAAGAUUUAUUAUCUUUGGCUAUAAAAAGUGACCCCAUACCAUCAGAACUAGGUAGUCUAAAAAAGAGUGCUGACAGUUUAGGUAAAUUAGAGUUACAGCAUAUUUCUUCCAUAAAUGUGGAAGAAGUUUCAGCUACUGAAGCCGCUCCCGAGGAAGCAAAGCUAUUUACAAGUCAAGAAAGUGAGACCUCACUUCAAAGUAUACGACUUUUGGAAGCCCUUCUGGCCAUUUGUCUUCAUGGUGCCAGAACUAGUCAACAGAAGAUGGAAUUGGAGUUACCUAAUCAGAACUUGUCUGUGGAAAGUAUAUUAUUUGAAAUGAGGGACCAUCUUUCCCAGUCAAAGGUGAUUGAAACACAACUAGCAAAGCCUUUAUUUGAUGCCCUGCUUCGAGUUGCCCUCGGGAAUUAUUCAGCAGAUUUUGAACAUAAUGAUGCUGUGACUGAGAAGAGUCAUCAGUCUGCAGAAGAAUUGUCAUCCCAGCCUGGUGAUUUUUCAGAAGAAGCUGAGGAUUCUCAGUGUUGUAGUUUUAAACUUUUAGUUGAAGAAGAAGGUUACGAAGCAGAUAGUGAAAGCAAUCCUGAAGAUGGCGAAACCCAGGAUGAUGGGGUAGACUUAAAGUCUGAAACAGAAGGUUUCAGUGCAUCAAGCCGUCCAAAUGACUUACUCGAAAACCUCACUCAAGGGGAAAUAAUAUAUCCUGAGAUAUGUAUGCUGGAAUUAAAUUUGCUUUCUGCUAGUAAAGCCAAACUUGAUGUGCUUGCCCAUGUAUUUGAGAGUUUUUUGAAAAUUAUUAGGCAGAAAGAAAAGAAUGUUUUUCUGCUCAUGCAACAGGGAACUGUGAAAAAUCUUUUAGGAGGGUUCUUGAGUAUUUUAACACAGGCUGAUUCUGAUUUUCAAGCAUGCCAGAGAGUAUUGGUGGAUCUUUUGGUAUCUUUGAUGAGUUCAAGAACAUGUUCAGAAGAGCUAACCCUUCUUUUGAGAAUAUUUCUGGAGAAAUCUCCUUGUACAAAAAUUCUUCUUCUGGGUAUUCUGAAAAUUAUUGAAAGUGAUACUACUAUGAGCCCUUCACAGUAUCUAACCUUCCCUUUACUGCAUGCUCCAAAUUUAAGCAACGGUGUUUCAUCACAAAAGUAUCCUGGGAUUUUAAACAGUAAGGCCAUGGGUUUAUUGAGAAGAGCACGAGUUUCACGGAGCAAGAAAGAGGCUGAUAGAGAGAGUUUUCCCCAUCGGCUGCUUUCAUCUUGGCACAUAGCCCCAGUCCACCUGCCGUUGCUGGGGCAAAACUGCUGGCCACACCUAUCAGAAGGUUUCAGUGUUUCCCUGUGGUUUAAUGUGGAGUGUAUCCAUGAAGCUGAGAGUACUACAGAAAAAGGAAAGAAGAUAAAGAAAAGAAACAAAUCAUUAAUUUUACCAGAUAGCAGUUUUGAUGGUACAGAGAGCGACAGACCAGAAGGCGCAGAGUACAUAAAUCCUGGUGAAAGACUCAUAGAAGAAGGAUGUAUUCAUAUAAUUUCACUGGGAUCCAAAGCGUUGAUGAUCCAAGUGUGGGCUGAUCCCCACAAUGCCACUCUUAUCUUUCGUGUGUGCAUGGAUUCAAAUGAUGACAUGAAAGCUGUUUUACUAGCACAGGUUGAAUCACAGGAGAAUAUUUUCCUCCCAAGCAAAUGGCAACAUUUAGUACUCACCUACUUACAGCAGCCCCAAGGGAAAAGGAGGAUUCAUGGGAAAAUCUCCAUAUGGGUCUCUGGACAGAGGAAGCCUGAUGUUACUUUGGAUUUUAUGCUUCCAAGAAAAACAAGUUUGUCAUCUGAUAGCAAUAAAACAUUUUGCAUGAUUGGCCAUUGUUUAUCAUCCCAAGAAGAGUUUUUGCAGUUGGCUGGAAAAUGGGACCUGGGAAAUUUGCUUCUCUUCAACGGAGCUAAGGUUGGUUCACAAGAGGCCUUUUAUCUGUAUGCUUGUGGACCCAACCAUACAUCUGUAAUGCCAUGUAAGUAUGGCAAGCCAGUGAAUGACUACUCCAAAUAUAUUAAUAAAGAAAUUUUGCGAUGUGAACAAAUCAGAGAACUUUUUAUGACCAAGAAAGAUGUGGAUAUUGGUCUCUUAAUUGAAAGUCUUUCAGUUGUUUAUACAACUUACUGUCCUGCUCAGUAUACCAUCUAUGAGCCAGUGAUUAGACUUAAAGGUCAAAUGAAAACCCAACUCUCUCAAAGACCCUUCAGCUCAAAAGAAGUUCAGAGCAUCUUAUUAGAAACUCAUCAUCUAAAGAAUCUCCAACCUACUGAAUAUAAAACUAUUCAAGGCAUUCUGCACGAAAUUGGUGGAACUGGCAUAUUUGUUUUUCUCUUUGCCAGGGUUGUUGAACUCAGUAGCUGUGAAGAAACUCAAGCAUUAGCACUGCGAGUUAUACUCUCAUUAAUUAAAUACAACCAACAAAGAGUACAUGAAUUAGAAAAUUGUAAUGGACUUUCUAUGAUUCAUCAGGUGUUGAUCAAACAAAAAUGCAUUGUUGGGUUUUACAUUUUGAAGACCCUUCUUGAAGGAUGCUGUGGUGAAGAUAUUAUUUGUAUGAAUGAGAAUGGAGAGUUUAAGUUGGAUGUAGACUCUAAUGCUAUAAUCCAAGAUGUUAAGCUGUUAGAGGAACUAUUGCUUGACUGGAAGAUAUGGAAUAAAGCAGAGCAAGGUGUUUGGGAAACUUUGCUAGCAGCUCUAGAAGUCCUCAUCAGAGCAGAUCACCACCAGCAGAUGUUUAAUAUUAAGCAGCUAUUGAAAGCUCAAGUGGUUCAUCACUUUCUACUGACUUGUCAGGUUUUGCAGGAAUACAAAGAGGGGCAACUCACACCCAUGCCCCGAGAGAUGGCAAGAUCUUUCAGGAGAAAGUACGGUCAAUCAUGUACCUGAGGCAUUCCAGCAGUGGGGGAAGGUCCCUUAUGAGCCCUGGAUUUAUGGUAAUAAGCCCAUCUGGUUUUACUGCUUCACCAUAUGAAGGAGAGAAUUCCUCUAAUAUUAUUCCACAACAGAUGGCCGCCCAUAUGCUGCGUUCUAGAAGCCUACCAGCAUUCCCUACUUCUUCACUACUAAUGCAAUCACAAAAACUGACUGGAAGUUUGGGUUGUAGUAUCGACAGGUUACAAAAUAUUGCAGAUACUUAUGUUGCCACCCAAUCAAAGAAACAAAAUUCUUUGGGGAGUUCCGACACACUGAAAAAAGGCAAAGAGGAUGCAUUCAUCAGUAGCUGUGAGUCUGCAAAAACUGUUUGUGAAAUGGAAGCUGUCCUCUCAGCCCAGGUCUCUGUCAGUGAUGUCCCAAAGGGAGUGCUGGGAUUUCCAGUGGUCAAAGCAGAUCAUAAAGAGUUGGGAGCAGAACCCAGGUCAGAAGAUGACAGUCCUGGGGAUGAGUCCUGCCCAUGCCGA